rnacentral:tRNA from 1 species
GACCUCAUAGUUAAAUGGAUAUAACAAGCCCCUCCUAAGGGCUAGUUGUAGGUUCGAUUCCUACUGGGGUCGCCA